rnacentral:rRNA from 1 species
GAGUUUGAUCCUGGCUCAGAACGAACGCUGGCGGCAGGCCUAACACAUGCAAGUCGAGCGAGGACUUCGGUCCUAGCGGCGGACGGGUGAGUAACGCGUGGGAACGUGCCCUUUUCUACGGAAUAGCCUCGGGAAACUGGGAGUAAUACCGUAUACGCUCUUCGGAGGAAAGAUUUAUCGGAGAAGGAUCGGCCCGCGUUGGAUUAGGUAGUUGGUGGGGUAAUGGCCUACCAAGCCGACGAUCCAUAGCUGGUUUGAGAGGAUGAUCAGCCACACUGGGACUGAGACACGGCCCAGACUCCUACGGGAGGCAGCAGUGGGGAAUCUUAGACAAUGGGGGAAACCCUGAUCUAGCCAUGCCGCGUGAGCGAUGAAGGCCUUAGGGUUGUAAAGCUCUUUCAGCUGGGAAGAUAAUGACGGUACCAGCAGAAGAAGCCCCGGCUAACUCCGUGCCAGCAGCCGCGGUAA